UACGUAGGGGGCAAGCGUUGUCCGGAAUUAUUGGGCGUAAAGAGCGCGUAGGCGGUCCGAUAAGUCGGCUGUGAAAGUCAGGGGCUCAACCCUUGGAAGCCGGCCGAUACUGUCGGACUGGAGUCCGGAAGAGGCGAGUGGAAUUCCCGGUGUAGCGGUGAAAUGCGCAGAUAUCGGGAGGAACACCAAUGGCGAAGGCAGCUCGCUGGGACGGUACUGACGCUGAGGCGCGAAAGCGUGGGGAGCAAACAGG
rnacentral:rRNA from 1 species